rnacentral:rRNA from 1 species
AACGAACGCUGGCGGCAGGCUUAACACAUGCAAGUCGAGCGAAGACUUCGGUCUUAGCGGCGGACGGGUGAGUAACACGUGGGCAACCUGCCUAUAAGACUGGGAUAACUUCGGGAAACCGGAGCUAAUACCGGAUAAUUCUUUUCUACACAUGUAGAAAAGCUAAAAGACGGUUUACGCUGUCACUUAUAGAUGGGCCCGCGGCGCAUUAGCUAGUUGGUGAGGUAACGGCUCACCAAGGCCACGAUGCGUAGCCGACCUGAGAGGGUGAUCGGCCACACUGGGACUGAGACACGGCCCAGACUCCUACGGGAGGCAGCAGUAGGGAAUCUUCCGCAAUGGACGAAAGUCUGACGGAGCAACGCCGCGUGAGUGAUGAAGGUUUUCGGAUCGUAAAACUCUGUUGUUAGGGAAGAACAAGUACGAGAGUAACUGCUCGUACCUUGACGGUACCUAACCAGAAAGCCACGGCUAACUACGUGCCAGCAGC